AUCAAUUCCAUUACAAACAGGAAAAGCAACAGUGUUGCAAGCUUAUGCAGGCAAAUUAGGGCGUUGAAGAUUUAUUCAGUUUGAGGCGCGAAAGGAAUGACACAUCUGCACGAGAAGCUGAACUACUCAAUAAAAACUAAAAAUGGCAGACAUGAAAAUAUUGGUGAUAUAUUUGAUGAUCGCGAUGAUGCUUUUUGCUGGAACAUUAGCCGAGUCCUGGGCCCCACCACCAGCAUCAAACAAAUUCAUUAACUACAAUGCCGAUGAUGGAUUGAAGGAUUGACUUAUUCAUGAUCCGGUAGGUGGCGCCACGUCGUUGUACAAUUGUUUCUAUGUUAACUGGGAAAAAGAUUAGAUUAUUGGACAACCCUAUUUCAUUAUAAUUUAUACCGCAAUUAUGUAUAUGUGUGUGUUUAAUAUUGUGUAUCUCUGUAUUGUGUAAUAAUGUAUUCUAAUGAACGGACAAUCGUUACGGAGUAUAUCAAAUUAAAAUGAUUAUCCCCCUUACUUUUCAUUCGUUGCAUUAUUCCUUAACUUUGGACUGUGUUUUCUUUCUAUUAUAUAGAACAAGUGAAAAUGAAUUUCACGUUGAUCAUUAUUUUUUUACUCUAUUCACUCGUCAAGUAGCCCGAAUGACAUGCUGACACCGCCAAUUAGAUCAUUAACAAACAAAUAAACGGGUUUGUUUAUACGAUUUCGCAAUCAAUUGUUAAAACUUUGAAUCGGAGAAUCGAAAAUAUAAAUAUAUAUUCCCAUUCAACACAUUUUUGUUUCAUGCAGGGGAAAGGGAGGGAUAUGUGCAAAGCAAAGGCAAUUUAUAAUACUAUUUGGCGUACAUGGGAAAAUACGAAUAUCGCGUUAUGUAUGUAGGCUCUUCUGUUUUUAAUAUGGGGUAUAUGCUUCAUGUGAUAUGCAUUUGUUGCAAUACUUUCCGACUUCUGAAUGUUUUAUCUCUCUUACUUCAUCUUAUUUAAUAUUUAAUUGCUCUAUUUAAUCGAGUAAUAUUGAAUGACCUGCUUACAGUAUUAACUGGGUCAUUAACAAAGCGAAUAAACGAGUUGUUGUUUACGACUUCGCAUUUAAUUGUUAGAACGUAUGUUAGAUAUCCUGAACGGAAUUUAAAAUUAGAUGGUCAACAAGAAAAGCGCUAGUGCUUAUCUGUAGUGAAUUUAUAACAUAAUACCAGAAAGACUUGUGUAGUGAGCUUGAAGAAAUGUUUUUGCCCUUCUGCAGGGGAAAGGCUAGAGCAGGGGUGGGCAUGGUUUAUAAACCACGUGCCAAAAAAUUUGCCA